rnacentral:lncRNA from 1 species
ACAGGAAGAAGAUCCUGAGCCAGCAUGGCUUUAAACAGCCACAGGUGGAUAUGACAUCAUAAAGGAUAGAGCAAUUGGGAUAACCUUCUAAUCUAGGGUCUCGCAGACGGCCCUGGAUCCUGCUGGACGGAUGACAGUAAGGCGGGGCACAUGGAGGCAGCUGCCCAGGGGUGCUGGGCUGACGGUCCAAAAUUUUCGAAACAGGAAGAGUAUCAGCAAAUCUGAGCACAUUGGCUUCACAGUCUUCUCGCAGAGGCAGGGGAUCAACUGUCUUCAUGCCAGCAGCCGGAGAAGUCAACAGAGACAUGGGACGGGGUUUUCCUUUCUGGAUGACAAAAAAGACGCACACGUGUGUCCAAAAGUAAAGAACGGAUCAACAUUCAGAUGUAACCAGUCACACGUCACAGAAGGUGUGGGGGAAGAGACAGUGUCCCUGGAGAGACGGCUUAACCACCGACAGAGAACAGCCCUGUGUACAUUUUAGGACAGUAAAAUGUACAUUAACAGUGCACUGAAUGACAAUGUAUGCGGAGACAUCAAC